UAUUUUCCCUUCCCUGAAAUGUUUCUCUCUCUUAUCUCUAUAAAAAAUAUUUUCUCUCUCAUCCAAAAUCAUCAAAUCAUCGCCUGAGAAGUUCGCCGCCAACCUCUUUUUUUUCUGAUGGCCGGAACAUUGGUGGUUACACGUAAAUUGCGUCGCUAGCGUUUGGAGGAAUUGCUGAAAUCGGUUGCAUUUGAAGCAUUUCUGAGUUUCUAGGGUUUUGUGUUAGUGGUUGGGGAAGUUGGGGGAUUAUUUGAAGUUGCGAUUGAUUGAUUGAUUGAUAUUCUUUCAUUGCGUUGAAGACUGGGGAAGAGAGGCGUGGGUUGAGGAGGAUAAUGUGUAUACUUUGCGUGAUUCAGAAGUGGUCGCGGAGGAUUGCUACCAUGUUGCCAUGGCUAGUAAUACCACUGAUUGGGCUAUGGGCUCUGUCGCAGCUCUUGCCUCCGGCGUUCCGAUUUGAAAUCACGUCGCCGAGGCUUGCUUGCUUGUUAGUACUGUUGGUAACACUUUUCUGGUACGAGGUUCUCAUGCCUCAGUUGUCAGCGUGGAGGGUCAGGAGGAAUGAUAGGCUUAGGGAGAGGAAAAGGUUUGAGGCUAUUGAAAGGCAAAAGUUGAGGAAGACUGCCACCCGGAGGUGUAGGAAUUGCUUAACAGCGUAUCGGGAUCAGAAUCCCGGUGGGAGCAAGUUCAUGUGCUCUUAUUGUGGCCAUAUUUCAAAGAGGCCGGUUCUGGAUUUGCCUGUCUCUCCAGGAAUGGGUAAUUCAGGGAUAUUGAAGGAUCUCGUUGGCAAAGGUGGGAAGAUAUUGAAUGGGAAGAAUUGGUCGGACAAUGGGUGGAUAUGUGGGCAGGACUGGCUGGAGAACGGUAAUUGGGUUGUGGGGCCUUUUGCGGGCAAGUCGAACCGGAAGAGGAAUGGCAUUGGUGUCGGCUUAUUUGGAGGGGAUGAUGAUCAUUGUCUGGCUGAAAAAUCUUAUUCUCGUGUUUUUAUUUUUGCUUGCAAAAUAUUAACUGCUUUUUUAUUGAGCAUCAUGUGGAUUUGGAGAAAGAUUUUUAGGGUUAGUUCAUCCAGUGAUGAUACAUCAUCUGAUUCAGAACGCAGAGGAAUGCUCGAUAAUCAAAGCGAAAAUGGAGGGAACGGUCAGGAGAGUAGAGGAGAGAAAGCUCGAAGAAAAGCUGAGGAGAAGAGGCAUGCUAGAUUAGAGAAGGAGCUACUGGAAGAGGAGGAAAGAAAGCAGCGCGAAGAGGUCGCAAGACUAGUUGAAGAACAGAGGAGAUUACGAGAUGAGAAACUGGAAGCUGAAAAAGAUCGCAGUAAGGGGUCUCCCCGAGCUAAGGAAAGAGAUAGUAGAAAAGAAUCCGAAAGAAAGCACCAGGAAAGAAGGAAGGAGAAAGACAGAGGAUCAAGUAAAAGCAACUCUGAUGUUGAGGAGUUGGAGAAGCGAGUCGGCAAAGAAAGUGACAAUAACAAGAGGAGUGACAGUGAUAGACGGGACCAACAGAGAAGUACACCUGAAAGUAUGAAAGCUCAUGGUACAGAACUGGGGCAUGGAUUUAAGGGUGCUGCAGCAGGCAGUCAUAACCGAGGGAAUGCUGGAACAAGAUAUUUGGAUCGCAUGAAGGGCACAUUUUUUUCUUCUUCUAGAGCAUUUACCAGAGGUGGUUUUUUUGGAAAGAAUACUAACAUGCCAAUUGUUUUGAGAGAACUGAAACCAAGCCCAUUGCUAGAAAAUGCUCAAACUGUUGCAUAUAGAAAAGAAACAGUACAACCUGACCAGGCUUCUGGUAGACCAACUGUACAUGUAGAUGAUAAGGGUUCUAACCGCCCGGUGCUCAUUGAACAUCAACCAAGUACAGCUCCUAAAAAGUCGUGGCAGCAACUAUUUGCACGUUCACCACCUGUUAGUGCCCCCUCCAACACGAAUGUUAUAAGCAGACCAACCGGGAAUCAUAAAGCAGAAGUUCAGAACACCCCCUUUUCUGGUAACCCUCCCCCAACAAAAUCAGUUGACAAUCCUAUCGAUUUUGGGCUGCAGUCUCCGUUUAGUCUACCAUCAUUUCCCUUUGAAUCGAGUACUAGCAGUACAGUUCUUCCAUUAUCUUCCGAACCUAUUCAACCUAAAAGGGCAGAUAAACAACAUCAAUUUCUGCUAGAGGAGACAGAGAUCUUUGAAGACCCCUGUUAUGUUCCAGAUCCAAUAUCCUUGCUUGGACCAGUUUCUGAAUCACUCGAUAGCUUUCAGCUGGAUCUGGGUUUUGUCGAUACUGGAAUGGAAAAACCAUGUGCAGUGAAGACUAAAUCUGCACAUUCCAAAGUUACCAAGCCAUCGCCAAUAGAGUCUCCAUUAUCGCGGUCACGUGUUUCAGAGGAUAGCUCCAAUGGCUUAAAUGGCAAUGGCACCUGGCAGAUGUGGAAUAGCUCUCCUCUUGUUCAGGAUGGUCUUGGUUUGGUUGGUGGGCCUAUCAACUGGCAUUUGCAUCCAGAGAUGAACUUGUUGAACAAGGAAGAUAAUAUGCGUCAUGUACCUCAUAAAACUAUGGCUUCACUGUUCAAGAAGGAUGAACAAACCUCUUCUGGACCUCAUCCUCCCCAGCAUGUUCUAUUUGGGAAUUCUCAAAAUGGUGGAAUAAUCAAUACAUCCGGGCCGCCAAUUUCUGAUGGUCCGUGGUUGCCAAGAACUUUAUUUGGACAAACUUCUGAUAAUCAAGCUGCAAUGAAGCCUAAUGGGGAAAUGCUUCAGAAUGGCCUAAUUUAUGGAAAUACUAGCGGACCUCCUGCUAACCAUCAAUUUGACGUUCCUGCUUCUAGUUGUUGGACUAGGUGGACCUACUGUAUAUCAACAUUGUCCAACUGAAUGUGAAAUUGUUAUGUGCCUCAAGUAUCAUAAUGCACAUGGAGGCCCCAAAGCUCAACUUCACAAUUAAGAAAUAAAAGACUGGACAGUGGCGGGUUCACGAGAAAAUGUUGGAAGCUCUCCUACGAAUAGGCCUCACAUCGGAGGCCUCUACUCACCGCCGGAUGUACAGUCUCUUUGGUCGUACGAGUAGAGAUAGGAAAGGACAAAAGAAAAAGAAGGAACAAUGAAAGACAAAUAGGCUCUUUGUGGACUCGAAUUCCUCCUGUGUGAAGAGGCAAAUAGCCUCUUUUCUGGAGAUCUAUAUAAUACAGGAUUCCAAUUGUAUCUUCCUUCUUUUCUAUACAAGGGAGAUUUUAAUUUUAGAAAAAAAAAACUUGUGAUCAUA